rnacentral:rRNA from 1 species
CACGUAGGGGCCAAGCGUUGUCCGGAUUUAUUGGGCGUAAAGAGCUCGUAGGCGGUUCGACAAGUCGGGUGUGAAAACUCCGGGCUCAACCCGGAGACGCCACCCGAUACUGUCGUGACUGGAGUCCGGUAGGGGAGUGGGGAAUUCCUGGUGUAGCGGUGAAAUGCGCAGAUAUCAGGAGGAACACCGGUGGCGAAGGCGCCACUCUGGGCCGGUACUGACGCUGAGGAGCGAAAGCCGUGGGUAGCAAACAGG